UCCUCUCCCGCAGCCUGGGACGCGUUCAUCCCGGGCUGGCGGACGGCGGUGCGCGGAGCGGCAGGCGUUGUAGAAACAGGUCCUGAGAGUGCAGUGACUUCUCACACAGCAGUCUGGAUAGAGGAUCCAAGAUGGCUGAUGAGGACCCCCGGGAGGUGGGGCGGCUCUGGUGUUCACAGCUCCAGCUGACUGUGGAGAGGUCAUUGCUGGACAGAACUGAGAUAGUGCCAGGCUCUGAAGACUCUGCUGCCCACCCGGCCUGCCCUGGCUGUUAGUUUCGCCGGACUGGAUGCCACAUGGACACAGGCCUGCGCAGCGUGGCCAGCAUCUGGUUCCAGUGUGUGGUGCCCAUGCCACUGGCCCCUGGCCCAAUGAUGACAUGGCCCACGUUGUCCCCACGGCCGUCACUGCUGCUCUCAGCCACUGUCACUCGGAGAGACAGGUCCUGGGGAGAAGGUGACAUGAAAGAUUGGGACCAGGAGCAGCUGAAGGGUUCUCCCUGGCUCUCAGGCUCCAAGGCCCUGUGAGGUGCACACAGCUCUUUGAGUCUUCCCAUCUGACUUGGAAGAAGAGACUUGUCCUAGUUACUUCCAGAUGGAUAGCCAGCUGCAAUGUGACCUUGCUAAGUGCUAAAAAGUGACAGUCCCAGCAGGAUUCAAAUCCAUCUCUCACUUCUCUGUCCCUCAACAUUUUUUCUUUAAGAUUUAUUUUAUUUCUGAGUUUGAAAAGAUGGGUAAGCAGUUAAAUACACUUGCUGUUCUUGCAGAAGACCUUUUUUUAAGUCCCAGCCCCCACAUGUUGACUCAGUAACUCCAGGGUAUCUGAACCCUCUUUGUGGGUAUCUGGCAUGCAUGUUAUGCACAGACAUACAUACAAGCAAAAUACUCAUACCCAUAAAAUAAUAAAAACCUU